rnacentral:rRNA from 1 species
CACGUAGGGCGCGAGCGUUGUUCGGAAUUACUGGGCGUAAAGCGCACGUAGGCGGCUUUGUAAGUUAGAGGUGAAAGCCCGGGGCUCAACUCCGGAAUUGCCUUUAAGACUGCAUCGCUAGAAUUGUGGAGAGGUAAGUGGAAUUCCGAGUGUAGAGGUGAAAUUCGUAGAUAUUCGGAAGAACACCAGUGGCGAAGGCGACUUACUGGACACAUAUUGACGCUGAGGUGCGAAAGCGUGGGGAGCAAACAGG